UCUUGCUGGCGAUCUCUGUGUAUCUAAGGUCUUCUGAAGGCCUAUGCUAUACCACGAAGAACCAUAAAUCAGAGGCAGAAUCAUUCUACCUCCUAAGUACAGACAAAAUAUUCAAAUGUUAGCCUGAAACAGUCAUAAGAAAGCAGCUCUCCAUCCAUUUUCAGCCUAAGUCUACUGUGAUGAUCAAAAUAGAUAAUCAUAGCAGAACUGAGCAGUCUUUGUGAAGGAACACCACUUGGAAGCAUGCCAAGAAAUCACUUCACAAUGGUAGCGGGAGUUGGCACACCAAUAGCAUUGUGUUUCUGCUGUUCUCCAGAGUUCAUAAACUGAGGAAUUUGAGGACCUGUCGUAUAAACAGCUUCAGAGAAGUCCCAAGGAAUAGUCUGUACCAGGUAUAGCAGUCUGAUCCAACAUGUAUGGUGGUUUGUGACCUCCAUAGAAAAAGAGAGCAUAAUCUAAAAACACUUCAGGAUUAUGGAGUCUUUAGAAGUUCUCAAAUAACUUGUUAGCAGAGAUGAAAUCAAUCAUUAAAAAAAAGUACAUAUGUUACCAUUAGGAGAAUUAGAAAUUAAGAAAUACUGUUUAGGUACCACACUUCUCUGUGACUACCUCAAAGGAGUUUCCCUGGUUUGCACCUUCUAUUACUUAUGUCUUCAUAAGUAGUUCAUUAUCUCUCUGGUUCAGUGUUUGUGUCUGUUGUUAUCAGAAACAUUUGGCAAAUAAAUGGCAAACAGAAAAUUGUACUCAUACUCAUGAGGUCUAUUAAAAAAAAUCUGCCUGAUUGUUGUCUGAAAAUUACCAGAAAAGUGUCAUGUUUUGAUUGCUGAGUUUUGGAGUGAAAUAGCAAUAAAACCACAGGCCAAAAGUCAGAGUUGCAUUUUUUUCGCAGGCAUCAGCUGAACAAAGAGAUGAUGCUGAUGCUAUAAGAAACCUUGGGAGAAAGUUAUAGGGGAACUGCAUUGCCUUUUCUUCAGUAAGUCCUGGCUGGUACCAGUCCGUAUCAGAGCCAAGAGUUUCAUGGUUGUUACUUACUUAAAAAUUGGAGGAGGAUAAGGCUCUCAGUUUGUGUUGUUAUUCUCUAGCAUGUUAUUGUGACUUUAGCAUAUUACUACAGUUCUUAAUGAGACUGAUUUUUUUUCCCAAACAGUUCAUAGCUGUAUGCACCAAAGCUAUUGCAGGUAGACAAAUAGGCUUUCCCAAUAAAGUUGUUUUAUGAGUAGCUUUUUGUCUUUUUCCCACUUCAUCACCUGAAGAGGCUGUCAUAAUGGUAUUUCACUUGAUUAGGAACAGUGUAUCAGCAGAGUACACAUAAUAAUGAUGCUCUUUUUGCUUUAUUUUGCACAAGCACAGCAAAAACCACACUCAAAGAAAGACAAAUUAUAUUUUAAAAAACUGACAGAGAUGGGCAGUUUCAGUGGGACCUCAAAACCCACGCUUUGGGGUUGUUAGACAGGCAUUGUGCUCCUUCAGAACUCCCCUCUGUACAGAUACAAACAGAGAAGUGGUUGUGGCUUUAGAAAUUUCAUUCCUCUUGUUUGUCUCUGUAAUGAGAACAAAGAUGGAGGGACAGGAGCGGGCAUGCUGAGACUAGAAUGCAGAGGAAAAUAGUUCAGAACAGACCUGUAUUGCUGGAAUACCAGGUGUGUGUGCGUGCUCUGCAGAUGUUUUUGAGCACGAGAGCUUCUGCCAAAGGCCUAAAUCAAAAGAAGGGGGGAUUACGGAUCUCUAUUGCAUAAUGUUUCAGGCACACUGCUUUCAACCACAAGGUUAUAUGAACUAGCAGACAGUUGCAAAUUAGUUUACGAGCUGCAGAGCAAAUCAAUUAGGCUUGUCGUUCCUCUUUUUUUCUAUAAUCCAGAACCAAAUCUGUGAAUAGGAUUGUUUUGCGCCUGUCUUCACUAGAAGGGGUUUUUAUUCUGUUUGCUUUCUUAUUUUACUACUUUGUCCUUAAUGGUGGCUGUUUUUGCUUUUUUCUGUGUUCUUUGUUUCUUCUGAAAUGAUCUAAGAGAGAAAAUGAAACUGUACUGACUUGGAUGUUUAUGUUGUAUCCUGUAAAUCCAGAAUUUUUGUGUACUCUGUACUGUUUACACCAGUUAUGUAAAAUCUGUGAUGAUUCUUACAUGUAAUAUUAGUCUUCUCUCUGCU
ensembl:lncRNA